UCAGUUAUAUUUUGAAAUGAAAGAAAAAAAUAAAAAAUAAUAUUCAUUCACAAUGCUUGAUUCAUUUCGUACUCUAAGGUUUUAGGGAAACCGUCGGUCGGUUGGCCGGCCGGCGUGGCUAUGGUGUAACUGAUUUAUGCCCUUCAUAACGAUCGACCAGAAAAGUCAAUCAAUCAAGCCAUCGAACAAGUUCAUUGACAGCUCAGUUGGGCUAAACAAAUACUUAAAAUGUUUCCCUGUGUAUCUUAACAUACAAAGCUACGAUGGGGAUAUAAUCGUUUGGAUGUAAAGCAAAUCGAUCGAACAUUAUACAAUAUGAGAACGCCAAGCUCUGAAAAUUAAAUCCCGCAUUGCACUUGGUUAGAACUCCAUAUGUGGAUGAACGAUCUUAAGUUACAUUGGCUUCGUGUGCACGGAAAAAAAUUAAUUUUGACAUUUAAGAUCUUCCAUUUAUUACCGCUAUUUUGAAUAAUAUAUAUUACUGAUUUUUAUUCUGAAUUACCUAUUAUAGUUCACAUCUAGGCUCUGUAUAAAUGACAUAUAUUUUCAAUCAAAUAAUUUUAAAAUGAAGUUGAUAAGCAGUCUCUUAGGAAACAAAAGAGCUGAUUAGCGAACGUGAAAAAAAUUAUUUAUAUCAAUACUGUAUGAGAUAGUUAUUUUGAUUAACACAGAAUGAAAAACCUUUUUAUUCUAGAAUUAUUUCCAAAAAUGUAGCAACGAUGAUCUCAAAGGCCUUUAAUUUAAAAUUCUUUAUAAUUUUAUUAUACCACUGAAUAAAAUUCAUUGAAAUCCUUCUCAA